UUUUUAUGGAGAGUUUGAUCCUGGCUCAGGAUGAACGCUGGCGGCGUGCCUAAUACAUGCAAGUCGAGCGAACAGACGAGGAGCUUGCUCCUCUGACGUUAGCGGCGGACGGGUGAGUAACACGUGGAUAACCUACCUAUAAGACUGGGAUAACUUCGGGAAACCGGAGCUAAUACCGGAUAAUAUAUUGAACCGCAUGGUUCAAUAGUGAAAGACGGUUUUGCUGUCACUUAUAGAUGGAUCCGCGCCGCAUUAGCUAGUUGGUAAGGUAACGGCUUACCAAGGCAACGAUGCGUAGCCGACCUGAGAGGGUGAUCGGCCACACUGGAACUGAGACACGGUCCAGACUCCU
rnacentral:rRNA from 2 species